rnacentral:rRNA from 1 species
AUAGCGACUAUCGUGGCAUAUCAAUAAGCGGAGGAAAAGAAACUAACAAGGAUUCCCUUAGUAACGGCGAGUGAAGCGGGAAGAGCUCAAAUUUGAAAUCUUCAAGGUUUUACCUUGACGAAUUGUAGUUUAAAGAAGUGUUUUCUGUUGGAGUUUUGGUAAAAGUUCUUUGGAAUAGGACAUCAUAGAGGGUGAGAAUCCCGUAUUUGACCAUUACUUCCAGCUGUUGUGAUACACUUUCAAAGAGUCGGAUUGUUUGGGAAUGCAGUCCAGAAUGGGUGGUAAAUUUCAUCUAAAGCUAAAUAUUGGCGAGAGACCGAUAGCGAACAAGUACCGUGAGGGAAAGAUGAAAAGAACUUUGAAAAGAGAGUUAAACAGUACGUGAAAUUGUCAAAAGGGAAGCGUUUGACACCAGUGUUGUUUUCCGAAAAUCAAUUACGAAUGUUUUAUUUUCUGAGGAGUUAUGACUUCAUCGGCUUGCCUUCUCUCUUUACUGAAACUUUUGUAAUGCACUUUUCGGUUAACAAGUCAACAUCAAUUUCUUUUGUUGUAAAAGAGGUAUGCGGAAGGUGGCUUUCUUUUCGGAGAAAGUGUUUAUAGCCUUGUAGCCUCUGCAAUCGGAGAGAUUGAGGUCUGCAGCGUAGAUCCUUCGGGGUUAGAUACGUUUGUGCUAAGUUAUAGCUUUCAUAGACAACUUGUUGACUAUGUUUAGUCUUGUAGCUUACUCGCUGAUGCUAUUUUACCUACGCUUAGGAUGUUGACGAGACUGUCGAUCUC